rnacentral:rRNA from 1 species
UACAGAGGUCUCAAGCGUUGUUCGGAUUCAUUGGGCGUAAAGGGUGCGUAGGCGGCGCGGUAAGUCGGGUGUGAAAUCUCGGGGCUUAACUCCGAAACUGCAUUCGAUACUGCCGUGCUUGAGGACUGGAGAGGAGACUGGAAUUUACGGUGUAGCGGUGAAAUGCGCAGAUAUCGGGAAGAACACCCGUGGCGAAGGCGGCUCUCUGGGACGGUACUGACGCUGAGACGCGAAAGCGUGGGGAGCGAACAGG